CCCAGCACGAGUUAUGUCGUGUUAUCGAUAUGUGAAUACAUAGCAUAUCUGAAGGCAGACGCGGAGAACUGAAACAUCUUAGUACCCGCAGGAAGAGAAAGAAAAAUCGAUUCCCUGAGUAGCGGCGAGCGAAACGGGAAGAGCCCAAACCAACGAGCUUGCUUGUUGGGGUUGUAGGACACUCUAUACGGAGUUACAAAAGAACAGACUAGACGAAUCAUCUGGAAAGAUGAAUCAAAGAAGGUAAUAAUCCUGUAGUCGAAAGUUUGUUCACUCUUGAGUGGAUCCUGAGUACGACGGAACACGAGAAAUUCCGUCGGAAUCUGGGAGGACCAUCUCCCAAGGCUAAAUACUCUCUAGUGACCGAUAGUGAACCAGUACCGUGAGGGAAAGGUGAAAAGUACCCCGGAAGGGGAGUGAAAUAGAACUUGAAACCGUGUGCUUACAAGUAGUCAGAGCCCGUUAAUGGGUGAUGGCGUGCCUUUUGUAGAAUGAACCGGCGAGUUACGAUUUGAUGCAAGGUUAAGCAGUGAAUGUGGAGCCGUAGCGAAAGCGAGUCUGAAUAGGGCGUUGAGUAUUUGGUCGUAGACCCGAAACCAGGUGAUCUACCCAUGACCAGGUUGAAGUUCAGGUAACACUGAAUGGAGGACCGAACCGACUUACGUUGAAAAGUGAGCGGAUGAGUUGUGGGUAGCGGAGAAAUUCCAAUCGAACCUGGAGAUAGCUGGUUCUCUCCGAAAUAGCUUUAGGGCUAGCCUCAAGUGAUGAUUAUUGGAGGUAGAGCACUGUUUGGACGAGGGGCCCUUAUCGGGUUACCGAAUUCAGACAAACUCCGAAUGCCAAUCAAUUUAACUUGGGAGUCAGAACGCGGGUGAUAAGGUCCGUGUUCGAAAGGGAAACAGCCCAGACCACCAGCUAAGGUCCCAAAAUAUAUGUUAAGUGGAAAAGGAUGUGGCGUUGCCCAGACAACUAGGAUGUUGGCUUAGAAGCAGCCAUCAUUUAAAGAGUGCGUAAUAGCUCACUAGUCGAGUGACACUGCGCCGAAAAUGUACCGGGGCUAAACAUAUUACCGAAGCUGUGGAUUGUCCGUAAGGACAAUGGUAGGAGAGCGUUCUAAGGGCGUUGAAGCAUGAUCGCAAGGACAUGUGGAGCGCUUAGAAGUGAGAAUGCCGGUGUGAGUAGCGAAAGACGGGUGAGAAUCCCGUCCACCGAUUGACUAAGGUUUCCAGAGGAAGGCUCGUCCGCUCUGGGUUAGUCGGGUCCUAAGCUGAGGCCGAUAGGCGUAGGCGAUGGAUAACAGGUUGAUAUUCCUGUACCACCAUUAUUCGUUUUAAGCGAUGGGGGGACGCAGUAGGAUAGGCGAAGCGUACGAUUGGAUUGUACGUCCAAGCAGUGAGAUUGAGUGUUAGGCAAAUCCGGCACUCUUAAGAUUGAGCUGUGAUGGGGAGAGGAAAUUGUUUCCUCGAGUCGUUGAUUUCACACUGCCAAGAAAAGCCUCUAGCUAGAAUUGUGGUGCCCGUACCGCAAACCGACACAGGUAGUCAAGAUGAGAAUUCUAAGGUGAGCGAGCGAACUCUCGUUAAGGAACUCGGCAAAAUGACCCCGUAACUUCGGGAGAAGGGGUGCUCUUUAGGGUUAACGCCCAGGAGAGCCGCAGUGAAUAGGCCCAAGCGACUGUUUAUCAAAAACACAGGUCUCUGCUAAACCGUAAGGUGAUGUAUAGGGGCUGACGCCUGCCCGGUGCUGGAAGGUUAAGAGGAGUGGUUAGCUUCUGCGAAGCUACGAAUCGAAGCCCCAGUAAACGGCGGCCGUAACUAUAACGGUCCUAAGGUAGCGAAAUUCCUUGUCGGGUAAGUUCCGACCCGCACGAAAGGCGUAACGAUUUGGGCACU
rnacentral:rRNA from 1 species